GGCCAGAGGUGAUAUUCUCUACUUGAUAGGUAUAGCAUUCUUUUUAACAAAAUGAACAUCGAUGAAAUUUCCUGCUGCACCUGAGUCCACCAGGGCCUUGCAUGAAAAGUUUUUUUUGUCAACUAUGAUCGUAAUAUCAAGGAGAAAUCUAUUAUUGUUAUUCCCAGAGGACGUGUCCAUUACACCUAAGACCUGUCCCCUUAAGGUUCUUAGGUGCGGUAGUUUUCCGGACUUAUGGGACAAGUACUCCUCAUAUGUCCUUUUUCACCACAGUAUAUGCAUAGACCCUCUCUUCUCCGAUGUGGUCUUUCUGCCUCGGACAGUCUAGUGACCCCCAACUGCAUAGGUUCGGGUUCAGACUGUAUCGAGAGGUCAGGAACAACUGUUCUGGAGAAAUGAGGCCUAAUGUCAAAGCCAUACAUCUGGUUUUAUU